rnacentral:tRNA from 2 species
GCCCCCGUAGUUUAGUGGAUAUGACAGCGGCCUGCGGAGCCGCAAACCCGGGUUCGAAUCCCGGCGGGGGCA